ACGAACGCUGGCGGCGUGCCUAAUACAUGCAAGUCGAGCGCAGUUUUUCUGGUGCUUGCACUAGAAAAACUUAGCGGCGAACGGGUGAGUAACACGUAAAGAACCUGCCUCAUAGACUGGGACAACUAUUGGAAACGAUAGCUAAUACCGGAUAACAGUAUUUCUCGCAUGAGAGAUAUUUAAAAGUUGGUUAUGCUAACACUAUGAGAUGGCUUUGCGGUGCAUUAGCUAGUUGGUGGGGUAAAGGCCCACCAAGGCGACGAUGCAUAGCCGACCUGAGAGGGUGAUCGGCCACACUGGGACUGAGACACGGCCCAGACUCCUACGGGAGGCAGCAGUAGGGAAUCUUCCGCAAUGGGCGAAAGCCUGACGGAGCAACGCCGCGUGAGUGAAGAAGGAUUUCGGUUCGUAAAGCUCUGUUGUUAGGGAAGAAUGGAUAUGUAGUAACUAUACAUGUAAGAGACGGUACCUAACCAGAAAGCCACGGCUAACUACGUG
rnacentral:rRNA from 1 species